GAAGUGAAAGCGGUAGUGGA
rnacentral:misc_RNA from 1 species